AAGUACUAAAAUACAAAAUGAGAAUGAAGGCCUUCUUAAGUAAAUCAACUAAAAAGAUAGGUUUAAUUGAAAGGACUAACUGAUACAGACCUCAACAGAACUUCCAUAGUUGUCUUCAAUUUCCUGCUGAAUCAUCUUGGCGGAGUUCCCAACAGAUUUUGCAGAGUCACUUACAUGAAUCAGCUGAAGAGUGGUUAUGUCUACAAAGUCCUGUGGGAUCGAAUACAUGCUCCAACAACGGUUAAUGACUAGUCGUUCAAGGCAUGGAAAGUGAUCACUACUAGCUAUCCAUUUAUGCAAGUACAACUGCUUCAAUCGCAAGAACUUCAAGUGUGGAAACCCUUCCUCACCUACUUCCCAAUCAGUACCAAGGCAGGCAUCAUAUCCUAGUUUGAGGGCCUUGAGUUUAGGCAACUUACCAAGAAUCUCCAAAUCCUUCCAAUGCAACCGAGUACCUCUAAAAGCUAACUUCUUAAGGUUCUUCAA
rnacentral:misc_RNA from 1 species